GGGAUGGUAGCUCAGUUGGUUAGAGCGCUGCCCUGUCACGGCAGAGGUCGCGGGUCCGAGUCCCGUCCAUCCCG
rnacentral:tRNA from 1 species